rnacentral:rRNA from 1 species
AUCCAGACUCCUACGGGAGGCAGCAGUCGGGAAUAUUGCGCAAUGGAGGAAACUCUGACGCAGUGACGCCGCGUAUAGGAAGAAGGUUUUCGGAUUGUAAACUAUUGUCGUUAGGGAAGAUAAAAGACAGUACCUAAGGAGGAAGCUCCGGCUAACUACGUGCCAGCAGCCGCGGUAAUACGUAGGGGGCAAGCGUUAUCCGGAUUUACUGGGUGUAAAGGGAGCGUAGGCGGUAAUGCAAGUCAGAAGUGAAAGCCCGGGGCUCAACUCCGGGACUGCUUUUGAAACUGUGUUGCUAGAUUGCAGGAGAGGUAAGUGGAAUUCCUAGUGUAGCGGUGAAAUGCGUAGAUAUUAGGAGGAACACCAGUGGCGAAGGCGGCUUACUGGACUGUAAAUGACGCUGAGGCUCGAAAGCGUGGGGAGCAAACAGGAUUAGAUACCCCGGUA